CGCUGAGUUUGAUCCUGGCUCAGGAUGAACGCUAGCGGCAGGCUUAACACAUGCAAGUCGAGGGGUAUAGUUCUUCGGAACUAGAGACCGGCGCACGGGUGCGUAACGCGUAUGCAAUCUACCUUUCACAGAGGGAUAGCCCAGAGAAAUUUGGAUUAAUACCUCAUAGUAUAAUGAGUUGGCAUCAACACAUUAUUAAAGUCACAACGGUGAAAGAUGAGCAUGCGUCCCAUUAGCUAGAUGGUAAGGUAACGGCUUACCAAGACAACGAUGGGUAGGGGUCCUGAGAGGGAGAUCCCCCGACACUGGUACUGAGACACGGACCAGACUCCUACGGGA
rnacentral:rRNA from 1 species